UACAGAGGUGGCAAGCGUUGUUCGGAAUUACUGGGCGUAAAGGGCGCGUAGGCGGCCUUCUAAGUCAGACGUGAAAUCCCCCGGCUUAACCUGGGAACUGCGUCUGAUACUGGGAGGCUAGAGUGCGGGAGAGGGAUGCGGAAUUCCAGGUGUAGCGGUGAAAUGCGUAGAUAUCUGGAGGAACACCGGUGGCGAAGGCGGCGUUCUGGACUGUUUCUGACACUGAAAAACGAAAGCCAGGGGAGCAAACGGG
rnacentral:rRNA from 1 species